GAGGAGUUUUAUUCUUGCUUUUCCAUUCAGUUUUUGUUUGUUUUAUAUGUAAGUUUAUGCGUGAUUUUAUGCACUUCUAAAUGGGGUGUUAAGAGAUUUGAAGGGUUUACUGUCUGGGUUAUUCUCAUUAAUUAUUAUUGGUUGGUCAAGUAUCCUUGUAUCUAGCAAUUCGUUUAUAGUUUCGGUUAAAUUUUGUGCCAGCAACCGCGGUUAUACCUUGAGAGGCAUUUGAAUGUGUUCGGCAUUUGUAGUUUUAUGAUUAAAGUUUAUUUGAUUUUAAUUUUUUAAUUUGUAGGUGGAAUUUUUAUUAUUUUUAUUAUCUUUUUGUUUUUUGUAGGCUAUUAAAUUCCUUUUAUAAACUAGGAUUAGAUACCCUAUUAUUUUGGAACGUUAAUUUUGUUUGCCUGAGUAGUAUUAGUUAUGUUCUUGAAACUUAAAGAAUUUGGCGGUAUCUUAUUCCAUUCAGAGGAAUCUGUCUCGUUAUCGAUAGUCCGCGUUGGACCUUACUUAGAUUGUUAUGGUUUGUAUACCGCCGUUUAUUGAUUAUCUUUUUAGAGUUUAUAUAAUUUUCUAGUUUCUUUAUUUUGAUUUAUUUCAGGUCAAGGUGCAGCUUGUUUCUAAGUGUAUGAUGGAUUACAUUGUUAUUUGUUUAAAUGGAUUAUUGAUUUUAAUAUUAAUAUGAAAUUGGAUUUGGUUGUAAUGUUUUGUAUAUUGUUUGUAUGAUAAUUGGUUCUGAGAUAUGUACACAUCGCCCGUCGCUCUCGUUUAUUUUAAUGAGAUAAGUCGUAACAAAGUGGUUGUACCGGAAGGUGCGGCUGGAUUGAU
rnacentral:ncRNA from 1 species